rnacentral:lncRNA from 1 species
AUGAGCGCCGUGUUGGACGUGGCUUCGCGAAAGGCCGCUUCGUGCCCCUGUCCUCAGGGCUGUGGAUUCUCUCUUCACGAGAAGGACCCACACGAAGCAUGCCCGGUUUGUCUGGGAAUUCUCCACAUCAGGAGAGCUCUUGUAGACCCGGAGGCAUGCGAGUUCUGUCGCCAACUCUGCCGUCCCACACUCGAAUGGCGCGUGAAGCUCCAACAAUGUCUCCUGGGAGACACUGCAGUUUUGCAGCAGGACCCCAUGCUUUCCCGUUCGGCCCCGGCUUUGCCCGGCUCUGACGCGGACAGCCUAGUGAUCGAUGUCCCCGCUACUAGCUGGGCAGAUCAGAUGGAGAUGGCAGACAAUUUAACCGGACCAGACCUAGAGGCUUCUCAUUUUCCUCCUCUGGCAGAGGAUGAAGGAGACGUUGUGGACAUUUGCCCCGACGGUCAGGACUUACUCGAGGAUGAGGAGGUCCUCUCAGCAGUGGAGUGUUCAGCUCCAGCCGCUACUUCAGCCUCCAAGCUGCGAGAUGACACUUCUUUUCUCCCGCUCUGCCAGCGUGCAGCGGGGAGGUUAAAAGUGGACUGGCCCGCUCCUCCACCUGCACAAAAGAGGUCCUGCUUUUCUGGAUUUUACCUCCCCUCAGAACCAGCGGAGGUAAAGAACUUUCUGACACUAUACCCAGAUUUUGUGGCUGAGCUCACUGUAUCCUGGGCCAAGCCGCUAUCCACCCACACCACGGUCCCAGGUUAUGGUCAGUUUUUCGACCUCGACGGCGCAGAAAUGGCGGGAUUGGUUAACCUCCCUUCGAUGAAGCCCUCUCUCGCGGCUUACCUGGCCCCGACCUGCAAUAACGAGUCAGUGGACAAGCUAAUCUACCCUCCAAGCCAUGCCGCUUCUCAGCUGCACAACUGGAGAAGAUUUACUGCGCGCAGGCCUCCACUGCCCACUUCCUCAGCUCCAGGCCUGCCAAUCACUUUGCCUGGCGGACCUUGGAGCAAGAGUCCCACCCGACAGCCCACUGACCCCCCUCAUCAAUGA